rnacentral:ncRNA from 1 species
UCCAAAGAACAGAUAUUCUCCGGACGAGGUGCGCCGUACCCGGUUACGACAAGACGACGCCAA